rnacentral:rRNA from 1 species
AUCCUACGGGGCGCAGCAGUCGGGAAUAUUGCGCAAUGGAGGAAACUCUGACGCAGUGACGCCGCGUAUAGGAAGAAGGUUUUCGGAUUGUAAACUAUUGUCCUUAGGGAAGAUAAAAGACUGUACCUAAGGAGGAAGCCCCGGCUAACUCCGUGCCAGCAGCCGCGGUAAUACGGAGGGUGCGAGCGUUAAUCGGAAUUACUGGGCGUAAAGCGCACGUAGGCUGUUGUGUAAGUCAGGGGUGAAAUCCCACGGCUCAACCGUGGAACUGCCCUUGAUACUGCAUGACUGGAAUCCGGGAGAGG